UCCCUGGUGGCUCAAACGGUAAAGCGUCUGCCUGCAACGUGGGAGACCCGGGUUCGAUUCCUGGUUCAGGAA
rnacentral:tRNA from 1 species